rnacentral:tRNA from 1 species
AAAAUUUUAGUUUAAGUAAAACUUUUCUUUUACACUGAAACGAUAUAAUAAGGUUUUUUUGAAAUUUUA